rnacentral:rRNA from 1 species
UACGUAGGGGGCAAGCGUUGUCCGGAUUUAUUGGGCGUAAAGAGCGUGUAGGCGGCCAGGUAGGUGGGUUGUGAAAACUGGAGGCUCAACCUUCAGACGUCGACCCAAACCCCCUGGCUAGAGUCCGGAAGAGGAGAGUGGAAUUCCUGGUGUAGCGGUGAAAUGCGUAGGAGAUGUGGAGGAAUACCAGUGGCGAAGGCGACUCGUUUGGCCUGUAACUGACGCUGAGGCGCGAAAGCGUGGGGAGCAAACAGG